UUCUUAACUCUCUACAUGACUACUUACAAGACAGAUUAAGGAAUUUCGGGCAUCAAACAAAAUUAACAAAUGGCCUUCACAAUGAAAAGUUCUCUUCUGGUUUUGAUGUUAGUAUUUCUUUGCAUGACAGAUGUUUCGAUUUUAGCUCUUGAAGAAUCAUGCGUUGGAUAUUGUGUUGCAAUGACGGAAGAAAAUUGCUUACAACUUUGCAAAACUAUAGGUUUUGUAGCUGGUUCAUGCAAAAAACAAUGGCCUUUCUCUAGGUGUUGUUGUCAUGAUCAACUAGUUCUUAGCCCUUCGAAUUAAGGGUUAUUGCUUGUAAACCAUUUUUUUGGCAUCAUGAUGUCCAAUAAAACUACCAAAUAAUUCUAUAAAGCUAUUAAAAAUUAGUACC